rnacentral:rRNA from 1 species
GUUUGUAGUCCGCACGAGCGCACCCCUACGGUUAGUUGCUAACGGGUAAGGCCGAGCACUUUAGCUGAACUGCCGUUGACAAAACGGAGGAAGGCGGGGAUGACGUCAAAUCAUCAUGCCCUUUAUGUCCUGGGCUACACACGUGCUACAAUGGCCUGUACAAAGGGCGGCAAAGGGGCGACCCGGAGCAAAUCCCAAAAAACAGGUCUCAGUUCGGAUUGCAGGCUGCAAUUCGCCUGCAUGAAGGCGGAAUCGCUAGUAAUCGCAGGUCAGCAUACUGCGGUGAAUACGUUCCCGGGCCUUGUACACACCCGCCCGAU